CAGAGAGUAGUUUAAGAAGAAUUUCAGCUUUGGGUGCUGAUGGCGGGACCUUGGGUCCCCUCUUUGA
rnacentral:tRNA from 1 species